rnacentral:rRNA from 1 species
UACGUAGGGUGCAAGCGUUAUCCGGAAUUAUUGGGCGUAAAGGGCUCGUAGGCGGUUUGUCGCGUCGGGAGUGAAAACUCAGGGCUUAACCCUGAGCCUGCUUCCGAUACGGGCAGACUAGAGGUAUGCAGGGGAGAACGGAAUUCCUGGUGUAGCGGUGAAAUGCGCAGAUAUCAGGAGGAACACCGGUGGCGAAGGCGGGUCUCUGGGCCGAUACUGACGCUGAGGAGCGAAAGCGUGGGGAGCGAACAGG